UACGGGGGGGGCAAGCGUUGUUCGGAAUUACUGGGCGUAAAGGGCUCGUAGGUGGCCAACUAAGUCGGACGUGAAAUCCCUCAGCUUAACUGGGGAACUGCGUCCGAUACUGGAUGGCCUGAGUUUGGGAGAGGGAUGCGGAAUUCCAGGUGUAGCGGUGAAAUGCGUAGAUAUCUGGAGGAACACCGGUGGCGAAGGCGGCAUCCUGGACCAACACUGACACUGAGGAGCGAAAGCCAGGGGAGCAAACGGG
rnacentral:rRNA from 1 species